rnacentral:rRNA from 1 species
UCUUGGUCAUUUAGAGGAAGUAAAAGUCGUAACAAGGUUUCCGUAGGUGAACCUGCGGAAGGAUCAUUAAAAAAUAUAGAAUUAAUCUUCUGUAAACCCAAUCUGCGUAUUUCUACCUGUUGCUUUCGUGAGACUGUGAACGCAAGUUCCCUCUGGCGCUGUUUUUAGGAACAGCUGUUGGGGAGUGCUCACGGGAGGUAAUUAUAAACUCUGUUUUUUUUGAAUUUUGUCUGAAUAUUGUUUAUACAUAAACUUUAAAACUUUCAACAACGGAUCUCUUGGUUCUCGCAUCGAUGAAGAACGCAGCCCCCCCGUGCCCCCGCCCCGCCCGCCGCGCGCGGCGGGCG